rnacentral:rRNA from 1 species
UAGGGAAUAUUGCAAAAUGGGCGAAAGCCCGAUGCAGCAACGCCGCGUGGGCGAUGAAGGCCUUCGGGUCGUAAAGCCCUUUUUGAGGGGAUGAGGAAGGACAGUACCCUCAGAAUAAGCCUCGGCUAACUACGUGCCAGCAGCCGCGGUAAAACGUAGGAGGCGAGCGUUAUCCGGAUUUACUGGGCGUAAAGCGCGUGCAGGCGGAUUGGAGAGUUGGAUGUGAAAGCUCCCGGCUUAACUGGGAGAGGUCGUUCAAUACUUCCAGUCUUGAGUGCAGUAGAGGGAAGGGGAAUUCCGGGUGUCGUGGUGAAAUGCGUAGAUAUCCGGAGGAACACCAGUGGCGAAAGCGGCUUCCUGGACUGUAACUGACGCUCAGACGCGAAAGCUAGGGUAGCAAACG